UUUAUGUCGUUUGGAAAUUGCGUUUUCUGCUCACUAGGUCCAGAGCAUUACUCCCACAGCAGCGCUUUUACAUCUGUCUUUGACCUUUGUGGCUACAAGUCCAGAUAACUGCACUUGGUUGCAGGCCAAACUCCAUUUCCGUACUGUUGUAGCCGGGCUGCCCCGCUGGGGGGCAGCACCUCACAAGCGAUCGGGGCCUUGGCGUGAGGCGUUUGGAACUAAGCUUCAACCCGAGGACACCAGAGGACAUCGCCGUUGGGGCAGAAAGGCGCACUAAUGAAAAUUAGUCACGGAUCUCUGUUGUCCGUAUAGAGCAAAGACAGGCAGGUCUCAAAGCAUAUUCUGGAGGGGUACUUUUUCGAACGAAGAGACCAGCUUGGAUGUGUGUGCUGAGGAUCCAUCUAUUUGUUCUCUUCCCACUGCAGAACCCUUCCCAGCACGGACUGUGCGGGGCUUUUGGAGCUGGUCGUAAGGCAGGUGUGAGCGCCCCUGUUUAGCCGGAGAGCCUGCUUGUUCAUCUUUGAAACGUUCGGAGAGAUCUUUUUGCAUGUGAAUGCAAGUUGUGAAUCUCCAAGAGAGGGGGUUGCUAAUGUAGGAUUUUCCAGAGCUAUUUUCAGCAUUCAUCUUCGAACCAUCUUCAGGGCUGACGCUCCUGGAACACCUUGAACAAUACUAAUCGGUUGGUGGCAGCUUUCCUGGUGGAGGAAUGUUAACCCAUCCACGGGGCAGGAGAAAAACAAAACAAAACAAGAGAUGGGGGCUUAGCCACGGAUCUAGGAAGAUCUUCCUCGUUUUUUGUUUUAAUAAUCCACCAUCAUCAAGUAGGUAAAUGAAUUGUUUGAAAGCCCAGGUGUCAGCAGCUCUGGACAGGCUGCCGUUUGCUGCUUUCCGGUGAAGAUCAAAGGUGCCAGUGGACGUGCACUCACGUGUCAGAGAAGACGUGGCUGGGACCAACAACCCUGAGAAGACCAGGGCCACAUGGGCUUGGAACCCCAAGCUGGGAGCAGUCCAGCCACCACUCUUGUGCCUACACCCUGGUUUCUGAACGCAGACUCAAGUGCCUGCUGUCAGAGCCUCUCACUCAGACUCGUGUCCUCCUUGAGACUCCUGGUGUCAGGAGACCGUCUUCCACACUUCCCCCACAUUCCCGAAUGUUGCCAGGGGGUGGCUGCUUUGUCCUUGUGUGCACUGUUACCUGACAAAGCCUUCCAGUUCCUUUUGUUUUGUGUUGCAUCUUCCCAUGUCAGCUCACCACGUAGACCCCUUAUGAGCCCGAGAAGCCAGCACUCAACACUGUGCAGAGGAAACAGAAGCUGUACAGUGAGACACAGAGCUGGGACUAGCCCUCAGGCCCUCCCCUCCCACACACACCCACCAGGGCCCCUCCAGGUCUGUGUCCUGCCCUCUUCUGCCCACAUCCUCCCAUGGCUUUGCUGAAGCUUCUAGCUCUUACUCUGCUCCUGGUCUCUCCCUGCUCCCUAGGCUCCCCCGCCCAUGACGCCUCAACCUUCGUCAUCAGCCCCUCCUGCCAGACUCCAUCGUUCUCACCAUCAUCACAAACCUCCCUGCCCUCCCGCCCUCCCACUGCACCCUCAUGGCCAAACCCCAAGCUGGGAUCAGUCCAGCUGCUACCCUUGCCUGUGCCUCUCACGCCUGGGACUGCUUGCCUGGCACACUGUCCAUGAUUCCCUUCAAACUCCAUCCUCCUUAAACCUCUGACUCACUCAACCCAGGAUAGCACCCCCGAUUUCACAGAGAAAACAGCCACCAGACAGCAACUCCUGUAACUUUCUGUCACCAAAUUUAUAAAUGUGCCUGUACCAGA